GACAGAGGGUGCAAACGUUGCUCGGAAUCACUGGGCGUAAAGGGCGUGUAGGCGGGAAGGAAAGUCAGAUGUGAAAUCCCUGGGCUCAACCCAGGAACUGCAUUUGAAACUCCCUUUCUUGAGUGUCGGAGAGGAAAGCGGAAUUCCUGGUGUAGAGGUGAAAUUCGUAGAUAUCAGGAGGAACACCGGUGGCGAAGGCGGCUUUCUGGACGACAACUGACGCUGGAGACGCGAAAAGCGUGGGGAGCAAACAGG
rnacentral:rRNA from 1 species